AAAAUGAGAGAGCCUUGCUCAGCAACCCCCAAGCCUUCUACAAGUCAAGCCUACCUUGAGAUCGCUUUGCUAACCACCUCCCAAAUGGCCUGCUAGGAUCACAGUCAGCAUAGCCUUAAGUGAGGCUAUGGGAAAUCCUCAACAUUUGGCACAGAUGAAGGAUCUCAGUGUGUGGGGGGCGGGAAUCACAUUCUAAAAGCUCAGAGAGGACAGGCCAGAGCCGAAGUCCUUAGGAGGAAGAGGCAGAGGCCUACAGCAGGGACCCAGGGACCCAGGAGAGAGUGCGGAUGGACCCAACUUGCCUCUGCCCUAACUUCUGAUAUGGGAGCCUGAAGUCAAGAGGCCUUCGAUUUGGGGGGUGGAGGAGUGUUGGCAAGAUAACAAGUUGAUCUACGUUUACUUCAAAAGACAAAAAAAAAAAAUCCAGCAAGGAAAGCAAAACCUCCCACGGCCAAGCCUCUACCCACCUUCUUCCUCCUCCGGUUCAGAGAUGUCUUACCUGCCCCGGCAGAAGCAAGGCCUUAGAAGGCAGGACGGGGCUAGGCAAGCCUUAAGGGACACAAGGUCCCACCAACUGUUUGGGGGCUUUGGGACCUGUACGAAGUACACCCAGAAGGAGUGCUGCCUGCCCCAGACCCCUCAGAGGGGGAAACUCCCAGGCCCAGCCCUAGGGAUCACUUCUCGGCAGGGCAGGCACUCAGGGGUGGGGCCUGGCCAUUUAAAGGGCCCUCGCAGCUGGUUCUCUCUUCCUCCUCUGGGCGGCUUCUACUGCAGCUGAAGGCACUGCAGCCUCUUGGCUCUCUCGCUGAGGUCCCACCUCAGAGCCAGCUGGCAGUGCUGGAAUGAGACCGGGAAGGGUCAGAGGGGCAGGUGCUGAGUUCACCUCUGCCCCACGUGACUUUCAUUUCCCAAUCUGGCUGAAUAUGUUUCUGCCACCCCACAACUGUUUGGGCUCCUGCUGCAGCCCAGCCCCUAAGAGAAGAUAACUUUGUGGUUUUUUAUUUUAGAUUCAGAAAAGUCAACCCAGGUUCUCCAAAGAGAUGUUCACCAGAAAACGUAAAUACACACGUGUCCUCCUUCUGGCAAGGUGCGGUGUUGGGAGCUUGGGAGUCUCUGUCCUCUUCCCCAGUGCCCUGGGUCAGGGAAGGAGGGCCCAGGUCCCAGGACAUGUACACCCUGCAUCCUAAAGGUGGCGGAAGGAGCAGCAGUCAGUAUUUCCGCUGCCGGGGGAAGAGAGUACUCCCUGAGGACCGGAGUGGGGGGCUGGUGGGGCUGGGGUCCUCGGAGUCCAGGCUGAAGAGGUCCCUGCCAGUGCGAAGGAUCUGUUCCUCCAGCUUUUUGUGCCGCUUCAUGUCUGAGAGGACCUUGUCCAGGCGAGCCUCCCGUUUCUGGCUCCGGGCUGAGCUCCCUAGAGAAAAGUAAGGUAAGAAAUGUGGAUGGGAAACAGUGUGCACCAGACCUGUCCGGAUGUUAAUUAAUUACUUGCGGAGCUCAUUAAACAUAGAGAAUUCCAGACCUCUGUCAUGGAGGUUCUGAGGUUUAG
rnacentral:lncRNA from 1 species